CGAAGAGCUGGAAUAGAGCUCGCCUCGGCUCUGCUGGCCUUGGCUGCAGCUCUUCCAGAAAACCCCGGGCUCCCGCAGAAGAAUCUCUUACCUGGCUCUCUCUUCAGGGAUGACAUCAUCGGCUCACACCAGUUUUCCAGGACCACCUUCUGGAUGCCAAGGCUGCUGCUCGAGUACCUGCUGUGCACCUCUACCUCCUGAGCCAAGGAGCAUGGAUUCCAGGAACGCACUACCAUACAGAGCAACUCCUUGUGGACCCCUCUGGGAUCAGGACAGCGAGGGACAAGCGACAAAGAGGACCAUCAGUGGCCAGCUAGUCUCUCUGGGGUUCAAACCUUGAACCAGUGCCCUAGUGAGGGGGCACUGGCCAUGGCCCUUGACCUUUGCUCUGCUUGUGUCUUGAGUCUGAGUCCUUUCCUGUACAUCUGUGCUUGUGUUCAUCUGCUAGUGAACUGGAGUGCUGCCCUCCCCGAGGGGGGUCGUCCCUUGUGACUGACCAUGCUGUCCUAACAAUGUCCUGAGCAAAAGGGUCCCUUUGGGAACCUCUCAGGAGGGGGACCCGGGUCAGGGGCGACCAGCAUCUUGCUGGCAACUCCGUGGGUGGGGUGGGGUGCUUCCUUCUGGAAUGAGCACGUGGCUGACCCCCAAAGGCAUGUCCCCUCCCCCUCCUCCACCCACCUUCUCGGAGAUGUCCCUUUUGGGGUAGUGGGGACAUUAGGAGCAACCUCCUAGGGUUGUUGUGAGAAUUAAAUGAACUGCAGCAGCCUGAGGCAGGGCUGGGCAGAGACCUCAGCACAUGUUUGUUGAAAGGUUUGCAGGUGGAUCUAGUCCUCCCGUUCAUGGCUCAUGUGUCUCAACCAUUCUCCCGCAGACUCCUGCAGCCCCUAUGCCCAGGGCUCUCCUUGCUCCAGAGGUAGGUGGGAAAGAGAACUGGGAGAGCCCGGACUCACUCAUGAGAUUGAACUUAAAUUCACACGGAGGACACUUGGACUCUUGCCACAUUGGCCCCGGCUUCUCGAGGCCUGUCUACACUCGCUGCUUUCCUUCCUCACCUCCAAUUUCCCCUCCAACCCACUGCUUCCUGACUCGCUCUUCUCCAUCGAACGGCUCUCGCUCAGGCCUGUCGCGUCUUCCUGUGCCAUUUGCUGUUGUGCUCAGGUUCCACGAGCUGCCCAUCUCCACAGAAGAGCAGCUGGCAUUGCCCACCGGCCAUGCCGGCUGAAGAAAAGAAGUCUGAGGACCCCAGGACGCCCAGCGCGAGGACCCCAGGAAGCCCAGCGCGAGGACCCCACCCACGACGCCCAGCGCGAGGACCUCACGCACAACCCUCCUGGAUUAGGCCAAAGCCAUCAUCUGGAAUCCUGCGUGGGACCCUGGACACACGGACACAGACACCUGCCCCCAGGACCCUCCAACUGUAAAUCGAUUGGAAGCGCCCUUGUGAGCUGGGGCCUUCAAAGGGCUGAGGAGAAAAUGCAGGCCGAGAGACCAGCUUCUCAAAUAGGCUUCAAGCCUCCAUGACCUGAGCUCACCCCCUGGAAAUGUCUGGAAAACAUAAUGGGCAGGUUUUCUGUCUUCAAAGUUUCCAUCAAAACCUCUUCAAGUUCUUUAUUGUUUAGGACUGAGACACUUGGGGACAGUCAUGGGGACUUUCUUUUGUAUCUGUCUUGAAAGGCCAAAAUAUUUUUAUAUUGCUGUAGACAAAGCCACCUAUUUACAAAUGGACUCUGUUCCGUCGUUUCCCACCAGGAAGACCGUACUAUGUUUGUGUCUCUAUGUAUUCAGGGGUCUUGAAACAGGUUUCUCAUGGGGAUGGCCAUUCACUAGAGCCCAGAGGGGCAGAAGGGGAAGUGUCUACCCUGCCAAGGGGGUCUGGGGAAGGAGGGGGGCUAGUCUCAGAUUUGCUCCUUGUAUGUCUAGGGUAAACCCUGGGAGAAUCUGGGGGUAAAAGAACAUAUGCUGUGUUUGCCCCA
rnacentral:lncRNA from 1 species